rnacentral:lncRNA from 12 species
AUGAUUAAAUGGAUCAAAGACAACAACCGUUGCUGGAAAUGUGGGCGGUCACACUUAGCGAAAAAUUGCACCCAGAAAAAGCCCUGUCGCUUAUGUAAUGGGAAACACCUUCAAAUCCUACAUGAGGUGAACGACCGAUCACAGACAGAGGGCACCUGCUUGGUGAGCUCCACAAAUAAAACCCUGUACCUAGACAGGCCUGAAGGUUCCAAGCAUGUUCUUCUGAAAGUGAUUCCUGUUGUGCUACAACACAAGAAUAAAACCCUAAACACCUACGCAGUGCUCGAUGAUGGAUCCGAAAGAACCAUGCUACUCCCAGCAGCAGUUCAGAAACUAGGACUUAAGGGACAGACAGAGGACCUAGCAUUAAGAACAAUUCGACAAGAUGUCAAGAAACUCAUUGGAGCCUCAGUUUCCUUUAGGGUGCGCUCAAUAUCACAGCCUCAACGGAGCUACCAAAUCCAGAAUGCCUUUACCUCUGAGCACUUAAGUCUGGCUGAGCACUCCUACCCCAUCUCAAUGCUCCAGCAGAAAUAUCAACACCUGAAAAGGAUUCCAUUGCAGCCCAUCCACAGAGCAUGUCCCCUUCUUCUAAUAGGAGCAGAUCAUCCCCACCUGAUUACACCCAUUGAGCCUGUACUUCUCGGGCCCCCUGGAGGUCCAGCAGCAAUCAGAACCAGACUAGGUUGGACAUUACAAGGCCCAACACGCUUUCUAGAGCAACAGCUCCCACCUCAGCAAUGUUUACAUAUCUCUGUCAACCCUCAAAUGGAAGAACUUUUCCGGAAUGUGGAGAGACUUUGGCAAGGUGAUGCCAUCCCACAUAAGAACGAGAGAUUGGCUGUACGAUCAAAACAAGAUCAGAUGGCAAUGGACUUGUUACAAGCCAGAACCACCAGAGUCAUGGUAGAUGGAGUAAACCGCUAUGCAACACCGCUGCUAAGGAAAGCUAAUAUGCCUCACCUUCAUGCCACGAAGGACUCCGUCAUGCCCAACCUGAGAAGCACAGAGCGACGACUGGCAAAGGAUCCUGUGAAGGCAGCUACGUACAAUGAAGAGAUCAAGAAACUGGAGAAUUCUGGCUAUGUAGUUAAGCUCACCAUGGACUCUGUGACCACUGGAGGAGAAUCGUGGUUUAUUCCCCACCACAUGGUUCAACAUAAUGGAAAAAACCGUGUGGUGUUCAACUGCUCCUUUGAACACAAGGGUCAAAACCUGAACCACUACCUCCUUGCCGGACCUACUCUCAGCCCUUCCCUUUUGGGAGUACUGUUGCGUUUCAGGGAGCAUACUGUUGCAGUAAGUGGAGAUAUAAAGGGUAUGUUUCAUCAGGUCCGCCUACUGCCUGAUGACAAACAUCUCCUCCGAUUUGUCUGGCGUGAUCUUGAACCCAGUAACCCUUCCAGCAUUUAUGAGUGGCAAGUGUUACCCUUUGGCACAACCUGCAGUCCCUGCUGUGCCAUUUAUGCUGUACAGCGCCAUGAAUCCACUCUUGGCUUGAGAUGGAAUUAUGACGCAGACAUCCUCGGUUACAAACACCGCCCAGUACCAAAAACCACACCCACUCUGCGGCACAUUUAUAAGGUGACAGCAAGCCAAUACGACCCUCUGGGAUUCAUUCUCCCUUUCACCUCCCGUGCUAAAAUUCUGAUCCAACAGUUGUGGAACAAACAAAGAGAUUGGGACGACCCCAUGUUGCCAUUUAUUAUUAUUAUUUUUUAUUUUUUUUUCAAAAGCUUGUGUUAA